rnacentral:rRNA from 1 species
CAAACGACUCUCGGCAAUGGAUAUCUCGGCUCUCGCAUCGAUGAAGAACGUAGCGAAAUGCGAUACCUGGUGUGAAUUGCAGAAUCCCGCGAACCAUCGAGUCUUUGAGCGCAAGUUGCGCCCGAGGCCUUCGGGCCGAGGGCACGCCUGCCUGGGCGUCACGC